GGUUCAGGAGGGGAAACCAGCCCAAAGCUGAUUAAUUUUGCAAAACAGACCUUCCAGGGCAGCACACAGGAUCCUCAGAAAGAAUAUUCUGGGUUUCGCUUCCCACUGAGAGCUUUGGGGGCCAUAAUUAGAACAGCGAGGAGCGGCAGCCUCGGCUCCAGUUCACAAACCGCAAGGACCUUCCUUCAGUGCUCCUGUUCCGUGGAAGUGGUACCGAGAGCUCAGAUCGGCAUUGUGUUUUGGGCAGGUUUUAAAAAAACGGUUGCAUUGAGCUACGGUUCUCGUAACACACAAUUCACCCCUUUAAAAGCUACAGAGCUAAAUCUAAGAAUGAACUCAGCAAGAAGACGAACCAUGAAAAAGGAAUGGGAUACAAUUGGGACUCAUGAAGGCUCUACGAGACUGCCAUGGACAUCUGGGAUGUUUCACAUGCUCAAAACUGAAUCUUUGAUCACAGUGCUCUAGGAAGGCCACCACAUGCUCCCAUGGUGUACCACCCCAGGCCCAAGCUGUAGAGUCAAGCAAGCAAAAACUCAAACUAUGCAAUAAAAUAAACAUUCCCCCC
rnacentral:lncRNA from 1 species